GACGAACGCUGGCGGCGUGCUUAACACAUGCAAGUCGAACGGGAUUUCGUAACCGGAAGUCUCGUUGGGAGAGUACUAAUGAGAGUAGCGACCGGUUGAGAAACUCGUUAUCAACCUGCCAUAACCAGUGGGAUACCCUCGUGAUACCGGGAUUUAUAUUGAAUAAAAUCGUUCAAUAAUAUGUUUCAACGUUCAAGUCUCUAUCGGUCAUAUCGGGGCUCGCGUCUGAUUAGCGAGUUGGUACGGUAAACGCCCACCAAGGCGACGAUCAGUACCCGGUCUGAGAGGAUGAGCCGCGACAUUUGAGCUGAGACACGGUCCAGACUCCUACGGGAUGCAGCAGUGGGGAAUAGUGCACAAUGGGGGAAAUCCUGAUGCAGCGACGCUGCGUGAACGAAGAAGGUAUUCGUAUAGUAAAGUGCUGUUCUAUGGGAAGAUAAUGACAGUACCAUAGAAGAAAGCUCCGGCUAAAUACGUG
rnacentral:rRNA from 1 species